UACGGGAGGCAGCAGUGGGGAAUAUUGCACAAUGGGCGCAAGCCUGAUGCAGCCAUGCCGCGUGUAUGAAGAAGGCCUUCGGGUUGUAAAGUACUUUCAGUCGUGAGGAAGGUGUUAAGGUUAAUAACCUUAGCAAUUGACGUUAGCGACAGAAGAAGCACCGGCUAACUCCGUGCCAGCAGCCGCGGUAAUACGGAGGGUGCGAGCGUUAAUCGGAAUUACUGGGCGUAAAGGGCACGCAGGCGGUUAAUUAAGUUGGAUGUGAAUCCCCGGGCUUAACCUGGGAAUGGCAUUCAAGACUGGUUAGCUAGAGUCUUGUAGAGGGGGUAGAAUUCCAUGUGUAGCGGUGAAAUGCGUAGAGAUGUGGAGGAAUACCGGGUGGCGAAGGCGGCCCCUGGACAAAGGCUGACGCUCAUGUGCGAAAGCGUGGGGAGCGAAACAGGGAUUAGAUACC
rnacentral:rRNA from 1 species